GGCCGACUGGCGAAAUGGCAUCGCGUUUGACUACGACCAACGGCUUAUGUAAUGCUUACGUAAUCAAGAGACUGCAGGUUCGACCCCUGCGUCGGUCA